UACGUAGGGACCAAGCGUUGUUCGGAUUUACUGGGCGUAAAGGGCGCGUAGGCGGCGUGACAAGUCACUUGUGAAAUCUCUGAGCUUAACUCAGAACGGCCAAGUGAAACUGUUGUGCUAGAGUGCAGAAGGGGCAAUCGGAAUUCUUGGUGUAGCGGUGAAAUGCGUAGAUAUCAAGAGGAACACCUGAGGUGAAGACGGGUUGCUGGGCUGACACUGACGCUGAGGCGCGAAAGCCAGGGGAGCAAACGGGG
rnacentral:rRNA from 1 species